rnacentral:snoRNA from 1 species
AGAUUGAUGACCCGUGCUGUUGAUUGCCUGAUUGUCUGAAACCAAGAUCUGUUCUGACU